rnacentral:rRNA from 1 species
GACGAACGCUGGCGGCACGCUUAACACAUGCAAGUCGAACGAGAGAGAAGAUUAGCUUGCUAAACUUCGAUCUAGUGGCGGACGGGUGAGUAACACGUGAGGAACCUGCCUAUCAGAGAGGGAUACCGUUUGGAAACGAACGUUAAUACCACAUAACGUAACGAUACCGCAUGGUACAGUGUGAAAAACUCCGGUGGUAUACGAUGGACCCGCGUCUGAUUAGCUAGUUGGUGAGGUAACGGCCCACCAAGGCGACGAUCAGUAGCCGGCCUGAGAGGGUGAACGGCCACAUUGGGACUGAGACACGGCCCGAACUCCUACGGGAGGCAGCAGUGGGGAAUAUUGCACAAUGGGGGAAACCCUGAUGCAGCGACGCCGCGUGAGUGAAGAAGUAUUUCGGUAUGUAAAGCUCUAUCAGCAGGGAAGAAAAUGACGGUACCUGACUAAGAAGCCCCGGCUAACUACGUG